rnacentral:rRNA from 1 species
AUGAGAGUUUGAUCCUGGCUCAGAACGAACGCUGGCGGCGCGCCUAACACAUGCAAGUCGAACGAGAAUGCGGGCAACCGCAUGUACAGUGGCGAACGGGUGAGUAAGACGUGGGUGACCCUCCCUG